AGAUAUAGGGAGUAGUGUGAUUGAGGUGGAGUAGAUUAGGCGCAGUUAGGAUAAUAUAAAUAGUUAAAUUAAGAAUGGUUAUGUUAGGGUUGUACGGUAGAACUGCUGUUAUUCAUCCUAUGUGGGUAAUUGAGGAGUAUGCUAAGAUUUUGCGUAGUUGGGUUUGGUUUAAUCCACCUCAACUGCCUGCCAUGAUGGAUAAGAUUGAAAGAGUGAGGAGAAGGCUUACGUUUAAUGAGGGAGAAAUUUGGUAUAUGAUUGAGAUGGGGGCUAGUUUUUGUCAUGUGAGAAGGAGCAGGCCGGAUGUCAGAGGGGUGCCUUGGGUAACCUCUGGGACUCAGAAGUGAAAGGGGGCUAUUCCUAGUUUUAUUGCUAUAGCCAUUAUGAUUAUUAAUGAUGAGUAUUGAUUGGUGGUAUUGGUUAUGGUUCAUUGUCCGGAGAGUAUAUUGUUGAAGAGGAUAGCUAUUAGAAGGAUUAUGGAUGCGGUUGCUUGCGUGAGGAAAUACUUGAUGGCAGCUUCUGUGGAACGAGGGUUUAUUUUUUUGGUUAGAACUGGAAUAAAAGCUAGCAUGUUUAUUUCUAGGCCUACUCAGGUAAAAAAUCAGUGCGAGCUUAGCGCUGUGAUGAGUGUGCCUGCAAAGAUGGUAGAGUAGAUGAC
rnacentral:lncRNA from 1 species